rnacentral:rRNA from 1 species
UACGGAGGGUGCAACCGUUGCUCGGAAUCAUUGGGCGUAAAGCGCACGUAGGCGGCCGUGUAAGUCGGAUGUGAAAGCCCUGGGCUCAACCCAGGAAGUGCAUUCGAAACUGCACGGCUUGAAUAUGGAAGAGGGUCGCGGAAUUCCCGGUGUAGAGGUGAAAUUCGUAGAUAUCGGGAGGAACACCAGUGGCGAAGGCGGCGACCUGGGCCAAUAUUGACGCUGAGGUGCGAAAGCGUGGGGAGCAAACAGG